rnacentral:rRNA from 1 species
CUAAGGCUAAAUACUCUCUAGUGACCGAUAGUGAACCAGUACCGUGAGGGAAAGGUGAAAAGCACCCCGGAAGGGGAGUGAAAUAGAACCUGAAACCGUGUGCUUACAAGUAGUCAGAGCCCGUUAAUGGGUGAUGGCGUGCCUUUUGUAGAAUGAACCGGCGAGUUACGAUUUGAUGCAAGGUUAAGCAGUAAAUGUGGAGCCGUAGCGAAAGCGAGUCUGAAUAGGGCGUUUAGUAUUUGGUCGUAGACCCGAAACCAGGUGAUCUACCCUUGGUCAGGUUGAAGUUCAGGUAACACUGAAUGGAGGACCGAACCGACUUACGUUGAAAAGUGAGCGGAUGAACUGAGGGUAGCGGAGAAAUUCCAAUCGAACCUGGAGAUAGCUGGUUCUCUCCGAAAUAGCUUUAGGGCUAGCCUCAAGUGAUGAUUAUUGGAGGUAGAGCACUGUUUGGACGAGGGGCCCCUCUCGGGUUACCGAAUUCAGACAAACUCCGAAUGCCAAUUAAUUUAACUUGGGAGUCAGAACAUGGGUGAUAAGGUCCGUGUUCGAAAGGGAAACAGCCCAGACCACCAGCUAAGGUCCCAAAAUA